ACGUGCGUACAUUCGUGGUUGGGUGGGUGCGUGCGUGCGUGCGUGCCGUACGCUGUGCAGCGACAGUGAGGAGUGCGCGUUUUCUCCGAAACGCACGAUUUUGCGUUUGAACGUGCGUGGUCUUCGUCAGUGCAUCAAGCAUUUCUCGAGAAUCAGGGGAUUACGCGAAUUCUCUCUCAUCCGAACCGGCACUCCCAUAUCGGGGGCUCCGAGCGCGCGCUGCCCCAAUCGCAACCACCGCACGCGAGAGUGCCACGGGUCGAUUAAUAUUGAGCCACCUGGUCAAAUCGCGUUCGCAUCGGAUGAAAAAAA